rnacentral:lncRNA from 1 species
GACAGUCGUUCAUUUUAUAUUUAUUUUUGUGGUUAAUUUUAUUAGGAUUUGAAUUACAAAUCAAUCUCACAUAGAAUCUAAUAAUCUCAAAAAAAGAAAAUAUAACCUGACAUAACAGUAAGUACACAAAAAAUUUGAACUACAAGUUACAAUUGAUUAAACUACACCUUUGGGCAAAGAAACAGGAAUAGAAAACAAAAUAUUUCUCUAUUUUACUAAACUUCUCACUUCACAGGACCUGCCAUUAGAAAGUCAUGUUUAAUAGCAUUCCUGUAAUUUUUUUCUUAUAAAAGGUUAACUGCAUGCUCUAAAUAGGAUGACCACCUAUUAGGACAACUCAGUUACAAGUGAAUAUAAUUUUAAGUAAAUAUAGUAUUAAAGUGAUGCUAUAUUUACUUCAGAACAAGUCAAUGGGGAUAAAGCACAAAAUAUGACUCGUGUUACAUUUGUUACUAAGGUAACACUGAGUAGUACACAGUAGGCAAAUUCUUGUACCCUGAGCUCAAAGAAUAGGGUGGAAGAUGAACAGAAACCAUUUCUGAACUGCAAAGUCAUCACGGAGCAAGCACAGGCACCCGUGAUCCUGCAGCUCCUAGUCUGCUCCCAUUUCCUGUGUGGAGAAGCUCCUGAAUCGUGUCACUCUCACCCACUGUUGUGGGCCGCCCCACAGUGCAGCACAAGCAGUCAGAUGAGACGCAAGAGGGAAAUGGACAUAGAUGGUGGGUGGGCGGCUGCUACCUCAUUUCAAGCCUGACAGGGACUGCUUAGUUAACAGGACUGCAGCUUUACCAAGUGUUAGGAAGUUCUUAACAAUAAAACCUCAUUGGACUUUAAUGUCCAUUUACUAUGC